UACGUAGGGUGCAAGCGUUAAUCGGAAUUACUGGGCGUAAAGCGUGCGCAGGCGGUCUUGCAAGACAGAUGUGAAAUCCCCGGGCUCAACCUGGGAACUGCAUUUGUGACUGCAAGGCUGGAGUACGGUAGAGGGGGAUGGAAUUCCGCGUGUAGCAGUGAAAUGCGUAGAUAUGCGGAGGAACACCGAUGGCGAAGGCAAUCCCCUGGACCUGUACUGACGCUCAUGCACGAAAGCGUGAGGAGCAAACAGG
rnacentral:rRNA from 1 species